rnacentral:rRNA from 1 species
UACGUAGGUGGCAAGCGUUGUUCGGAUUUACUGGGCGUAAAGGGCGUGCAGGCGGUCUGUUAAGUUCAGGGCGAAAGCUCCCGGCUCAACUGGGAGAGGUCCUUGGAUACUGGCAGACUUGAGGGAGGUAGAGGAGAGUGGAAUUCCCGGUGUAGUGGUGAUAUGCGUAGAUAUCGGGAGGAACACCAGUGGCGAAGGCGGCUCUCUGGGCCUUUCCUGACGCUGAGACGCGAAAGCGUGGGGAGCGAACCGG